AACGAACGCUGGCGGCAUGCCUAACACAUGCAAGUCGAACGAGACCUUCGGGUCUAGUGGCGCACGGGUGCGUAACGCGUGGGAACCUGCCCUUAGGGUCGGAAUAACUCCCCGAAAGGGGUGCUAAUACCGGAUAAUGUCUUCGGACCAAAGAUUUAUCGCCUUUGGAUGGGCCCGCGUUGGAUUAGCUAGUUGGUAGGGUAAAAGCCUACCAAGGCGACGAUCCAUAGCUGGUCUGAGAGGAUGAUUAGCCACACUGGGACUGAGACACGGCUCGGACUCCUACGGGAGGCAGCAGUGGGGAAUAUUGGACAAUGGGCGAAAGCCUGAUCCAGCAAUGCCGCGUGAGUGAUGAAGGCCUUAGGGUUGUAAAGCUCUUUUAACCGGGAUGAUAAUGACAGUACCGGGAGAAUAAGCCCCGGCUAACUCCGUG
rnacentral:rRNA from 1 species